GCUUAUCACCAUUCCAGAUUGAAUAUACCCGAUCUCGUUUGAUCUCGGAAGUCAAGCAAUCACGGGCUUGGUUAGUACUUGGAUGGGUGACCGCUUGGGAAUACCAAGUGUGAUAAGCA
rfam:Ciona savignyi cont_18854, whole genome shotgun sequence.